rnacentral:rRNA from 1 species
UUAGUCCUACGGGGGGCAGCAGUGGGGAAUAUUGCACAAUGGGGGAAACCCUGAUGCAGCGACGCCGCGUGAGUGGGGAAGUAUUUCGGUAUGUAAAGCUCUAUCAGUAGGGAAGAAAAUGACGGUACCUGACUAAGAAGCCCCGGCUAACUACGUGCCAGCAGCCGCGGUAAUACGUAGGGGGCAAGCGUUAUCCGGAUUUACUGGGUGUAAAGGGAGCGUAGACGGAAUAGCAAGUCUGAUGUGAAAACCCGGGGCUCAACUCCGGGAGUGCAUUGGAAACUGUUGAUCUAGAGUGUCGGAGG